rnacentral:rRNA from 1 species
UAGUCCACGCCGUAAACGAUGCUCACUCGAUGUAUGCGAUAUACUGUAUGCGUCCAAGCGAAAGUGAUAAGUAUCCCACCUGGGGAGUACGUUCGCAAGAAUGAAACUCAAAGGAAUUAACGGGGGCCCGCACAAGCGGUGGAGCAUGUGGUUUAAUUCGAUGAUACGCGAGGAACCUUACCAGGGCUUAAAUGUAGUAUGACAGACUGAGAGAUCGGUUUUUCUUCGGACAUAUUACAAGGUGCUGCAUGGUUGUCGUCAGCUCGUACCGUGAGGUGUCAGGUUAAGUCCUAUAACGAGCGCAACCCCUGUUGUUAGUUGCCAGCACGUAAUGGUGGGAACUCUAACAAGACUGCCGGUGCAAACCGCGAGGAAGGUGGGGAUGACGUCAAAUCAUCACGGCCCUUACGUCCUGGGCCACACACGUGCUACAAUGGUAGGUACAGAGAGCAGCCACGUCGCGAGGCGGAGCGAAUCUAUAAAACCUAUCUCAGUUCGGAUC